AUGAACGCUAGCGACAGGCUUAACACAUGCAAGUCGAGGGGCAGCAUGAUUUGUAGCAAUACAGAUUGAUGGCGACCGGCGCACGGGUGAGUAACGCGUAUGCAACUUACCUAUCAGAGGGGGAUAGCCCGGCGAAAGUCGGAUUAAUACCCCAUAAAACAGGGGUCCCGCAUGGGAAUAUUUGUUAAAGAUUCAUCGCUGAUAGAUAGGCAUGCGUUCCAUUAGGCAGUUGGCGGGGUAACGGCCCACCAAACCGACGAUGGAUAGGGGUUCUGAGAGGAAGGUCCACCACAUUGGUACUGAGACACGGACCAAACUCCUACGGGAGGCAGCAGUGAGGAAUAUUGGUCAAUGGCCGAGAGGCUGAACCAGCCAAGUCGCGUGAAGGAAGAAGGAUCUAUGGUUUGUAAACUUCUUUUAUAGGGGAAUAAAGUGAAGGACGUGUCCUUUUUUGUAUGUACCCUAUGAAUAAGCAUCGGCUAACUCCGUGCCAGCAGCCGCGGUAAUACGGAGGAUGCGAGCGUUAUCCGGAUUUAUUGGGUUUAAAGGGUGCGUAGGUGGUGAUUUAAGUCAGCGGUGAAAGUUUGUGGCUCAACCAUAAAAUUGCCGUUGAAACUGGGUUACUUGAGUGUGUUUGAGGUAGGCGGAAUGCGUGGUGUAGCGGUGAAAUGCAUAGAUAUCACGCAGAACUCCGAUUGCGAAGGCAGCUUACUAAACCAUAACUGACACUGAAGCACGAAAGCGUGGGGAUCAAACAGGAUUAGAUACCCUGGUAGUCCACGCAGUAAACGAUGAUUACUAGGAGUUUGCGAUACAAUGUAAGCUCUACAGCGAAAGCGUUAAGUAAUCCACCUGGGGAGUACGCCGGCAACGGUGAAACUCAAAGGAAUUGACGGGGGCCCGCACAAGCGGAGGAACAUGUGGUUUAAUUCGAUGAUACGCGAGGAACCUUACCCGGGUUUGAACGUAGUCUGACCGGAGUGGAAACACUCUUUCUAGCAAUAGCAGAUUACGAGGUGCUGCAUGGUUGUCGUCAGCUCGUGCCGUGAGGUGUCGGCUUAAGUGCCAUAACGAGCGCAACCCUUAUCACUAGUUACUAACAGGUGAAGCUGAGGACUCUGGUGAGACUGCCAGCGUAAGCUGUGAGGAAGGUGGGGAUGACGUCAAAUCAGCACGGCCCUUACAUCCGGGGCGACACACGUGUUACAAUGGCAUGGACAAAGGGCAGCUACCUGGCGACAGGAUGCUAAUCUCCAAACCAUGUCUCAGUUCGGAUCGGAGUCUGCAACUCGACUCCGUGAAGCUGGAUUCGCUAGUAAUCGCGCAUCAGCCAUGGCGCGGUGAAUACGUUCCCGGGCCUUGUACACACCGCCCGUCAAGCCAUGGGAGCCGGGGGUACCUGAAGUCCGUAACCGCAAGGAUCGGCCUAGGGUAAAACUGGUGACUGGGGCU
rnacentral:rRNA from 1 species